CCGUCCAAACGUUAUUCGGUAUCACUGGGCUUAAAGCGUGCGUAGGCGGCUUGGUAGGUGAGAUGUGAAAGCCCACGGCUCAACCGUGGAAUUGCGUUUCAAACCCCCAAGCUCGAGGAAGAUAGGGGUGAUGGGAACUUAUGGUGGAGCGGUGAAAUGCGUUGAUAUCAUAGGGAACACCGGUGGCGAAAGCGCAUCACUGGAUCUUUUCUGACGCUGAGGCACGAAAGCUAGGGUAGCGAACGGGAUUAGAUACCCCGGUAGUCCUAUCCGUAAACGAUGAACACUGGGUUGAGGGGACUUCCACAUCCUCUCGGCCGUAGCGAAAGCGUUAAGUGUUCCGCCUGGGGAGUAUGGUCGCAAGGCUGAAACUCAAAGGAA
rnacentral:rRNA from 1 species